GACGAACGCUGGCGGCGUGCCUAAUACAUGCAAGUCGAACGGUCUUUUCUAUGGAAGCUUGCUUCCACUGAGAAGAUAGUGGCGAACGGGUGAGUAACACGUGGGUAACCUGCCCAUAAGAGGGGGAUAACAUCCGGAAACGGGUGCUAAUACCGCAUAGGUUUCUUGGUCGCAUGAUCGAGAAAGGAAAGCCGGCCUUUGUGCUGUCGCUUAUGGAUGGACCCGCGGCGUGUUAGUUAGUUUGCGAGGUAACGGCUCACCAAGACGAUGAUACGUAGCCGACCUGAGAGGGUGAUCGGCCACAUUGGGACUGAGACACGGCCCAAACUCCUACGGGAGGCAGCAGUAGGGAAUCUUCCGCAAUGGACGAAAGUCUGACGGAGCAACGCCGCGUGAGUGAAGAAGGUUUUCGGAUCGUAAAACUCUGUUGUCAGAGAAGAACAAGUCGGAGAGUAACUGCUCCGGCCUUGACGGUAUCUGACCAGAAAGCCACGGCUAACUACGUGCCAGCCGCCGCGGUAACAC
rnacentral:rRNA from 1 species